rnacentral:rRNA from 1 species
UAGGGAAUCUUCGGCAAUGGACGAAAGUCUGACCGAGCAACGCCGCGUGAGUGAAGAAGGUUUUCGGAUCGUAAAACUCUGUUGUUAGAGAAGAACAAGGACGUUAGUAACUGAACGUCCCCUGACGGUAUCUAACCAGAAAGCCACGGCUAACUACGUGCCAGCAGCCGCGGUAAUACGUAGGUGGCAAGCGUUGUCCGGAUUUAUUGGGCGUAAAGCGAGCGCAGGCGGUUUCUUAAGUCUGAUGUGAAAGCCCCCGGCUCAACCGGGGAGGGUCAUUGGAAACUGGGAGACUUGAGUGCAGAAUAGGAGAGUGGAAUUCCAUGUGUAGCGGUGAAAUGCGUAGAUAUAUGGAGGAACACCAGUGGCGAAGGCGGCUCUCUGGUCUGUAACUGAAGCUGAGGCUCGAAAGCGUGGGGAGCAAACAGG